rnacentral:rRNA from 1 species
UACGUAGGGUGCGAGCGUUAAUCGGAAUUACUGGGCGUAAAGCGUGCGCAGGCGGUUCGUUGUGUCCGUCGUGAAAGCCCCGGGCUUAACCUGGGAACUGCGAUGGAAACUAGCGAGCUGGAGUGUGGCAGAGGGAGGUGGAAUUCCGCGUGUAGCAGUGAAAUGCGUAGAGAUGCGGAGGAACACCGAUGGCGAAGGCAGCCCCCUGGGCUAACACUGACGCUCAGGCACGAAAGCGUGGGGAGCAAACAGG